GAUGAACGCUGGCGGCGUGCCUAAUACAUGCAAGUCGAGCGAACAGAUGAGAAGCUUGCUUCUCUGAUGUUAGCGGCGGACGGGUGAGUAACACGUGGGUAACCUACCUAUAAGACUGGGAUAACUCCGGGAAACCGGGGCUAAUACCGGAUAACAUUUUGAACUGCAUGGUUCGAAAUUGAAAGGCGGCUUCGGCUGUCACUUAUGGAUGGACCCGCGUCGCAUUAGCUAGUUGGUGAGGUAACGGCUCACCAAGGCAACGAUGCGUAGCCGACCUGAGAGGGUGAUCGGCCACACUGGGACUGAGACACGGCCCAGACUCCUACGGGAGGCAGCAGUAGGGAAUCUUCCGCAAUGGACGAAAGUCUGACGGAGCAACGCCGCGUGAGUGAUGAAGGCUUUCGGGUCGUAAAACUCUGUUGUUAGGGAAGAACAAGUGCUAGUUGAAUAAGCUGGCACCUUGACGGUACCUAACCAGAAAGCCACGGCUAACUACGUGCCAGCCGCCGCCGUAA
rnacentral:rRNA from 1 species